UCUCUCUGGAGCGGGGCGAUUUCUCUUCCUUCUAACCCUAAUGCGGUGCUUAGGCGACAGUUCUCCGGGUGCGCUCGCUGUUUUUCUGGCUAACUUUCAGCGAGCGGAGAGAGCGAAGCCGUGGUUUACGACGAUAGAGGAGAAAAAAUGUUAGCUGGGGAACGUCCCUUUCCCGAGAGCCCGCGCCAUCCUCUUCCUCGGGCCCAUUGGCGAUAGCCCCCGGCCUCCCUCGCUCACCAGGCCGCGGUCAGCCCGGGCCCUGGCUCUGCUAGGGCGUCCAAUGCUGCCGCGAAGAGUUCGUCUCUGAUUGCCUUGAGGUAGCCGGGCUCGAAUAGGUGGGCUCGCGGCGAUGCGCAGGAAAGAGCAAAACAGUGAACUGGGCGUGUGCUGGGGUCGCGUCCCUGAAGUGUGGGAUGUGCGAUCUGUCCGCUUGUUCAGACAUUG
rnacentral:telomerase_RNA from 13 species